rnacentral:rRNA from 1 species
AUUGAACGCUGGCGGCAGGCCUAACACAUGCAAGUCGAACGGUAACAGGAAGCAGCUUGCUGCUUCGCUGACGAGUGGCGGACGGGUGAGUAAUGUCUGGGAAGCUGCCUGAUGGAGGGGGAUAACUACUGGAAACGGUAGCUAAUACCGCAUAAUGUCGCAAGACCAAAGAGGGGGACCUUCGGGCCUCUUGCCAUCGGAUGUGCCCAGAUGGGAUUAGCUUGUUGGUGGGGUAACGGCUCACCAAGGCGACGAUCCCUAGCUGGUCUGAGAGGAUGACCAGCCACACUGGAACUGAGACACGGUCCAGACUCCUACGGGAGGCAGCAGUGGGGAAUAUUGCACAAUGGGCGCAAGCCUGAUGCAGCCAUGCCGCGUGUAUGAAGAAGGCCUUCGGGUUGUAAAGUACUUUCAGCGGGGAGGAAGGGAGUAAAGUUAAUACCUUUGCUCAUUGACGUUACCCGCAGAAGAAGCACCGGCUAACUCCGUGCCAGCAGCCGCGGUAAUACGGAGGGUGCAAGCGUUAAUCGGAAUUACUGGGCGUAAAGCGCACGCAGGCGGUUUGUUAAGUCAGAUGUGAAAUCCCCGGGCUCAACCUGGGAACUGCAUCUGAUACUGGCAAGCUUGAGUCUCGUAGAGGGGGGUAGAAUUCCAGGUGUAGCGGUGAAAUGCGUAGAGAUCUGGAGGAAU